rnacentral:misc_RNA from 1 species
UCCGAGUUGACCCCGGCAGUCUCCUGCGAGUCCCCGCCAUUACGCGCUGGCAACACAGGACAAGGGUUGCGCUCGUUGCGGGACUUAACCCAACACCUCACGGCACGAGCUGACGACAACCAUGCAGCAUCUGUGACAGUGCCCCGAAGGGAAGCCGACUUUCACCGGCGGUCACUGCCAUGUCAAGCCCUGGUAAGGUUCUUCGCGUAGCAUCGAAUUAAACCGCACGCUCCGCUGCUUGUGCGGGCCCCCGUCAAUUCCUUUGAGUUUUAGCCUUGCGGCCGUAGUCCCCAGGCGGAGUACUUAUCGCGUUAGCUGCGCUACCCAGGGAGUCGAUACCCCAGACAGCUAGUACUCAUCGUUUACGGCGUGGACUAC